UACGUAGGGGGCCAGCGUUGUCCGGAAUCAUUGGGCGUAAAGAGCGCGCAGGCGGUCGUUCAAGUCGCGUGUGAAAGCCCCCGGCUCAACUGGGGAGGGUCACGCGAUACUGAUCGACUCGAAGGCAGGAGAGGGAAGUGGAAUUCCCGGUGUAGUGGUGAAAUGCGUAGAUAUCGGGAGGAACACCAGUGGCGAAGGCGACUUCCUGGCCUGUUCUUGACGCUGAGGCGCGAAAGCUAGGGGAGCAAACGGG
rnacentral:rRNA from 1 species